CGGAGGGAGCGGCGGACGGGUGAGUAACGCGUGGGAACGUACCCAGAUCUGCGGAAUAGCCACUGGAAACGGUGAGUAAUACCGCAUACGCCCUUCGGGGGAAAGAUUUAUCGGAUUUGGAUCGGCCCGCGUUAGAUUAGGUAGUUGGUGGGGUAAUGGCCUACCAAGCCUACGAUCUAUAGCUGGUUUUAGAGGAUGAUCAGCCACACUGGGACUGAGACACGGCCCAGACUCCUACGGGAGGCAGCAGUGGGGAAUCUUAGACAAUGGGCGCAAGCCUGAUCUAGCCAUGCCGCGUGAGUGAUGAAGGCCUUAGGGUCGUAAAGCUCUUUCGCCUGUGAAGAUAAUGACGGUAGCAGGUAAAGAAGUCCCGGCUAACUCCGUGCCAGCAGCCGCGGUAAUACGGAGGGGACUAGCGUUGUUCGGAAUUACUGGGCGUAAAGCGCGCGUAGGCGGACUAGUCAGUCAGAGGUGAAAUCCCAGGGCUCAACCCUGGAACUGCCUUUGAUACUGCUAGUCUUGAGUUCGAGAGAGGUGAGUGGAAUUCCGAGUGUAGAGGUGAAAUUCGUAGAUAUUCGGAAGAACACCAGUGGCGAAGGCGGCUCACUGGCUCGAUACUGACGCUGAGGUGCGAAAGUGUGGGGAGCAAA
rnacentral:rRNA from 1 species